rnacentral:rRNA from 1 species
UCCGGUCGCGCUCCCUUGGAUUCAUGAGCCAUACCUCUUGGUCAAAAUGGUAUUGCCUCCAUGCCAACGCCUCUGGAGCUAGACCUGGCCGUGUGGGUGGGCUUCCAGCUUGCCCUCGGGCUGYGCCGUCACGGUGCAAAGGUGGAGUCUUCACCAAUGCUUGCUGGCCUCAGUUUGAUAGGAUUACCCGCUCGAUUUAAGCAUAUUAAUCAGCGGAGGAAAAGAAACUAACAAGGAUUUCCUCAGUAACUGCGAGUGAACGGGAACCAGCUCAACGUGUGAAUCCCUCGGGCUCUGGUCUGUGGGAGUUGUGCACUAAGGACGWUCGUCUGCGUUGUUUGGCUCACCUAAGUCGGAUGAAAUGCCGCGCCAGAGAGGGUAACAGCCCCGUUCAUGGUGAAUGCCUUUCAGCUGCUUUCAUGACACGCGCUCCGUGAGUCGUGUAGUUUCGAAGUACUGCACUAAUCCGGGAGGUAGGAUCCUUCCAAAGCUAAAUAUUGCGACGUGACCGAUAGCAUACUAGUACCGCGAGGGAACGGUGAAAAGGAUCUCUUAUGCAGACCUUGAAACAGACGUGAAAGUGCUGCAGGGAUAAGGGUUGUCCGAGCCUAGAUUUUGUCGGUGCGUGCUUCAGUGCUGCCCGGCGCAACGGCCAGCGGGCAUUGGCGUCCGCCGUACCUCGUGCACCUGGAACGU